GAUGAAGAACGCAGCGAAAUGCGAUAAGUAAUGUGAAUUGCAGAAUUCAGUGAAUCAUCGAAUCUUUGAACGCACAUUGCGCCCGCCAGUAUUCUGGCGGGCAUGCCUGUUCGAGCGUCAUUACAACCCUCAGGCCCCCGGGCCUGGCGUUGGGGAUCGGCGGAGCCCCCCGUGGGCACACGCCGUCCCCCAAAUGCAGUGGCGGUCCCGCCGCAGCUUCCAUCGCGUAGUAGCUAACACCUCGCGACUGGAGAGCGGCGCGGCCACGCCGUAAAACACCCAACUCUUCUGAAGUUGACCUCGAAUCAGGUAGGAAUACCCGCUGAACUUAAGUAUAUCAAUAAGCGGAGGA
rnacentral:misc_RNA from 1 species